CUUGACAUGUCCGGUAUGGUUUCCAGAGAUGGAUUCCUUCAGUUAGGCUGGCCGGAACACAGGUGCUGCAUGGCUGUCGUCAGCUCGUGUCGUGAGAUGUUGGUUAACGUCCGCAACGAGCGCAACCCUCGCCCUUAGUUGCCAUCAUUUAGUUGGGCACUCUAGGGGGACUGCCGGUGAUAAGCCGAGAGGAAGGUGGGGAUGACGUCAAGUCCUCAUGGCCCUUACGGGCUGGGCUACACACGUGCUACAAUGGCGGUGACAGUGGGAUGCUAAGGGGCGACCCCUCGCAAAUCUCAAAAAGCCGUCUCAGUUCGGAUUGCGCUCUGCAACUCGAGCGCAUGAAGGUGGAAUCGCUAGUAAUCGUAGAUCAGAACGCUACGGUGAAUACGUUCCCGGGCCUUGUACACACCGCCCGUCACACCAUGGGAGUUGGUUCUACCUGAAGGCGUUUUGCUAACCGCAAGGGGGCAGACGACCACGGUAGGGUCAGCGACUGGGGUGAAGUCGUAACAAGGUAGGCGUAGUGCU
rnacentral:rRNA from 1 species